GGAAGUACGGGCGUAGUGGUAUGCAACUAGUCUUGAAAACUAGCCCACUGUAGCGAUAUGGUGAUGGUUCGACUCCAUGUGCUUCCUCCA
rnacentral:tRNA from 1 species